AAGGAGGUGAAGCGGGCAGGACUCAACGAGAUGGUGGAGUACAUCACCCAUAGCCGUGAUGUUGUCACUGAGGCCAUUUACCCUGAGGCUGUCACCAUGUUUUCAGUGAACCUCUUCCGGACGCUGCCACCUUCAUCGAAUCCCACAGGGGCUGAGUUUGACCCAGAGGAAGAUGAGCCCACCCUGGAAGCUGCUUGGCCACAUCUCCAGCUCGUGUAUGAGUUCUUCUUACGUUUCCUUGAGUCUCCUGAUUUCCAGCCAAACAUAGCCAAGAAGUACAUCGACCAGAAGUUUGUACUUGCUCUCCUAGACCUAUUUGACAGUGAGGAUCCUCGAGAGCGGGACUUCCUCAAGACCAUUUUGCAUCGCAUCUAUGGCAAGUUUUUGGGGCUCCGGGCUUAUAUCCGUAGGCAGAUCAACCACAUCUUCUACAGGUGAGGCCAGAAGCCCAGGCUUAGGAGCAAAGCCUUCUGCUACUGAGGUGGGGUGGGAGCAGGGAGGUGGGGGGACUGUACAGAAUGCUGGAGGGACAUCAGGGGUUGUCAAGAGAGCCAUUUUUCUUCCCUCAGGUUCAUCUACGAGACGGAG
rnacentral:sRNA from 1 species